GGAUCAGUGGCCUGGGUCCUGUCACUUUUUUGGACCCCAUGCUCUUCAGUCUCACCGGUCCUCAGUUGACACUUGACAGCUCACUUGGGGCUCUUCCUUGAGAUGCAGGACAGCCAGAGAUCCUGGCACUGAGGAGACAUGUCUCGUAUAAGCAGUAAAGGGAUUCAGACAGUACAAGACCUCAGCCUUAGACGCAAGGCUCCUCCGCUAGUGAGAGGUGGAAUUGGAGUCCAGGUUUUUGACACAGAACGCAGGAUUUUCUCCACCUCGCUGUGUUGCCUGUUACACCUCCCUGUGUUUCACAGCACUUUCAGUCAUUUACAUGCUUGGUUCUGGCAGCAGUGCUCUGAGGCUGGAGGGGCGCAGAUGAUUAUUUUGCAGAUGAAGAAAUCGAGGUUUCAGGACAGUUGGUUGUUCCAUCACAUGGUGAGUCAGUAGCAGAACUGCAGUGAGAACAGCUGGACCCAGCAUUACAUCCACUUGGCAAGGAGAAGUGCCUCUUAGGCCAGGCAAGUGAGGAGACUCAAGUCCAAGUCCUAGCAGCAGGGAUGGGUGAGAGCCGCCAUUUGUUGACUUCUGCUCUGGGCCAGAGCGUGUGUACCUCAUCCCCAACGCAGGUGCCACACCCACAGUCACUGGCCGGUAGGACUCUCUGUGAUGGCGACAGUGGUCCAUUCUGCACUGUCCAGUGUGGGAGCCACUAGUCAUGUGUGACUGUGGGGCACUUGAAAUGUGUCUAGUGCACCUGAGGAACCAUAGUUUUAAUUUAAAUAGUCCCAUGUAGCUUCGUGGCUGCUGUUAUUGGACAGCGUAGAACUGGAUGAAGGCUCAGGGGGUUGAGGGUCACACAGGAAGUGGCUGAGUCCAGAUUCAAGUCCAGAUCUGUGAGAUUGCAAAGCCUGUGGCAUUUCCGUUGGCGCCCAGUGUCGGGAGGGAGAUGCGCACGAGUGGUGGACAUUGGCUGUGAGGUUCAGAAGGCUUCAUUUCAUUUGUGAAGGCUGCCCCUCACUCCCUGGCUGUGCGCUCGGACAGCCACAUCACCGCUGUACCCUCCUGCAUCUUCAUCCUCGUCAGCGUUGAUGCUGUUAUAUUGACCACCCGUCACCCCCAGGCUGGGCGCCGGGGCUCUACCUCCAUCAGGACUGAGCCUGAUACUGAAUCUACAAUAACACUACUGUGACCCCAUUUCCCGGAGUCAAUAGAGGCUCAAAAAGAUUGAGAAACUUGCCCAAGGUCACCAGCUUUUACUGGAAGGGUCACAUUGGCAUAAAUACAAAAUACCCUAUUUUUGUUCCUUUUUCUCACCAGCUCCAGACCAGAGCUAAAGCGAAAUUAGAAAGUGCCACAGAGGCAGCCAGGAAGCCCUCCCACUUCCCAUCACACACUUCGCUGGCCCCUAUCUUUGAGAAGACAGCAUUGUACUGAGCAUGCUGUCUGGGCACAGCCACUGCUCCCAGAGAGUGGGCAGAGGGCCAGGCACGCCACUCCUGGGGGGCAGCCUCGCCUGUGUGUUUGCAGCUUUCUCACAACUAUUCUAGAAAGCACUUGCCUCAAGUAAAUGCUUUUUUUAAAAGCAUAUGUAAUCUUAAAUACGAUUUUUGUUUCAUCAUGGAACAAGAUGUGUUAGUUCCAGCACACUUACAAUGCAAGUCAUGAGAAGACGCAAUUCAUUGUCACUCAUGAGCUGUGUGACCUUGGUCGAGUCUUUUCAGCCCCACCCCCGCAAGUGGAUUAGAUAACCUCCACGAGCCCUCCUCCAACGUUUCUGAUUCCUUGGGUAGCAUGGGAAGUAGAGAAACCAGGGUUCUGGCUCGGACUGCCACUUUCACGGUGUGUGACUUACCUCUGAGCCUUGGGCUUCUCAUCUGUAAGGAUGCCAUUCCUGUGGAGUGGGAGCGCCCAGCAAGAUCUGGCACAAGAAGAGCCUGGCAUGGGGCUGCCAUGGGGCGCGUGCUCAGUGAAGGUCCUGAUAACGCUUUUGUGCUGCAUGCACAAGACCCAGCGAUACCCCAUGGCCCCAUCUCAAGGAACAAGGAAGAGAUGUUGGAAGAAGUCUCUGUCCUCAACUGGGAGGAGAAACAUGCCCUCUUCGGGCCAAGAUGGUGGCACCAGUGCUGAGAACAGCACCAAAGAGCCUCCUGUGGCAGCUUUCACUGCAGGGCAGCCUUGCCCCCUCACCUUAGUGGGUGUGGGCCUUGGGGGCUGUGCCCACCAGUGGCACAGCUGGGAGGAUCUGGAAGGGACAGGUAACAGAAGCAUUUAGUCCUGGAAGAGGGAGGUUUCCCAGAGCUGAGGGGAGGGCAUGGCUCAAGAGAGGAGCAGGGCACGAGGACAGUGGCUCAGCCAUCCCUGCCAGCCCUGGUCUGAAGCAAGCCUAGAGUCCAGGAUAGCCCCCAGGCUGACAGUCAGGGAUAUGGAGUCAGAUGGUCAAAUGUCAACACUGUUGCUGCCCGGCACUGUGACUGAGCACGCCAUUUAAGCUCUCUGAGCCUUAUUUGCAUCUUCUGUGAAAUGGGGAGGGUAGGGGGUAGAAUGUAAUACCCAGGAAGGCCCCUGUGUGAUGCCAGCCAGAGUGGGCUCAGUAGUGGUUAUUAGUUUCCUGGGGCCUGACCCAGCUGUUGCAGGAGAAGUCUGUGCUGGGUGCUCUGGCCUCUGGUGUCCGUGAGGCAACAGAGAGGAGUGAGUCUGCUGCGAUCCCCACUGCUGACCUCGGGAAGGCUGUGACCUCGGCGCCAACUGGGAGAACCAGGGCCUGAGGUCUGGGGAUGCUGGAGUCCAAGUCUCUCGGGUUACGCCUGGCUGGCCGAGUGAACAAGACCAGAACCCCAGGUUUGGGGAGGGCUUCCUCAUCUGACCACUCAGGAGCCCUGAGGAUAGGAUCCCCUGGACACCAUGGGUCACUCCCAUCUUCUGGUCAGAACCUUUCUCACAGGCCUUCCUGGGGACCUGGACCUAGACUGCCAGGGGGGCAGGGGGCACAGAGCCUCGAGGUUCCCAACAUGGAACUGUGAGUACCCCCAGCCAAGCACACACACUCAGGGCCAUCCUCCUCCCCAUCCACCAACCCACACCCUCUGCCAGCCUUUCCCACCCAGCUUCCCCCCAGUCCUGCAAGCGCAGCCCAAAUGUCUCCCACUGCAGAAAGUGGCCUCUGUGACCUCAGCCAGGGAACUCCUUCCCUGGACUCCUCCCAUACUUUGUACAACCCAUAGUAUUGAGCAUGUGGUCAUGUGUGUUCAUGUCUUUUUAUUACUUUUUUCUGAUAGAAUAUAUGUAACAAAGUCUACCUUUUUAACCAUUUUUAAGUGUCAUGUUUAGUAGCAUUAAGUACAUUCUUACUGGUGCAACCACCAUUACCACCUGUCUCCAGAACUUUUUCAUCAUUUCAUACUGAAGCUCUGUAUCCAUCAAACAUUCUCUUUGCCCCAGAAAGAAGCCUCGUAUCUGUUGU
rnacentral:lncRNA from 1 species